rnacentral:rRNA from 1 species
UACGUAGGGGGCAAGCGUUGUCCGGAAUCAUUGGGCGUAAAGCGCACGUAGGCGGCCCGGUAAGUCCGCUCUGAAAGUCAGAGGCUCAACCUCUGGAGGCGAGUGGAUACUGCCGGGCUGGAGUCCGGAAGAGGCGAGUGGAAUUCCUGGUGUAGCGGUGGAAUGCGCAGAUAUCGGGAGGAACACCAAUGGCGAAGGCAGCUCGCUGGGACGGUACUGACGCUGAGGUGCGAAAGCGUGGGGAGCAAACAGG